rnacentral:rRNA from 1 species
GUGAUAAGUUGUCCUUUAAAUGGGGACUGGAAUGAAUGGUUUGACGUGGAAUUGCUUUUUUUAUAUAAGUUUUAUGAAAUUUCCUUUUAUGUGAAAAGGCUUAAAUACAAAAAAAAGACGAGAAGACCCUGUCGAGUUUGAUUAGAAUUAUUGAUAUGGUAAUGGUUUGAAGUUUUAUUGGGGCAAUAUUUGUUUAAAAAACAACUUAAUUAGUCAAAGAUCCUUUAAGAAAGAAAUUGGCAAAAAUUACCGCAGGGAUAACAGCGUUAUUUUCCAAG